UGCAUCUGUGACCUACACCAUAGCUUGCAGCAAUACCAGGUCCUUAACCCACUGAGUGAGGCCAGGUAUUGAACCCACAUUCUCAUGGAUACUAGUCGGGUUCUUAACCCGCUGAACCACAAAGGGAACUCUAGGAAAGCAUUUUUUUUUUUUUUUUCCAGGAAAGCGUUUUUAAAGGCUAGGUGGGGAAUAGGAGUCCCAGGGUAUGGGAUCAGCUCAUGCACAAAUCUCUGAUGGGUUGGUGGUGCGGUAACCAAGCAGUGUCACAUUUCAAUCUUCAGACUCCAGUAGGUCUGGGGAUUCAUGGUUGUCAAGCAGUUAGCUUCUUCCAUUUGGUGGGGGUUUCAGCAUCUGUAAAACAACUCAGGAAAUGUGCAUCAGAGACUGUUACCUAGGUGCUUCCGAGAGGCACUGUAGCAUUGGACCUGGGGGGAAGACCCCAUAGGGUCCUGCUCGGGGUACAGAGCCACAGAGAGAAAGAAGCAGACCAGGUCAAGGGCUUGCGAGUGAUUAAAUGUGAGGAUUGAGGAAAAGAGAAAACAAGUUUGACUCUGGGGGUUCUGGCUGAAUAACUCGGCAAUGAGCAGUGGCUUUAUUGCAUGGGGAGCUUGGCAUCCUGGCUGUGUGUUGGGGGCGAGAUGCAUUCAGCUAGAGAACCAACGAAUGGGAGCUGGAGGUGUUGCUCAAGUGGGUGCUGGACAGGAAGUCAGCAGGGACCUCGGGCUGCUUGAGAUACCCCGAGGGGGGUUGCGGAUUGAAAAAGGAUUGAGUCUAAGAAUUUGCAGACUCUGCAAGAGGAGGGGAGGAGCCAGACAAAAGAGCCAGUCCCCUGGCCUCCUUCCUCACUUUGCUCAGGGCUGCGUCCUUGGGCUGGCGCCCUUCUCCAGGCCUGAGACGCAGCUCUACAGGAGACCAAGUCCUGCUCUGCAGAGAACUCCUUCUCCUUCCAGAACAAGGAUCUUCAGCAGGAGUCAAGCUGUGGAUGAAGCAUGCACGUGGGUGAAGCUGGCUCCUGACCCAACUGCGAACCUAGUCCUCAGCAGUUAAGAAAAGAUAACCACAAGGCUGGCUGAAAGCCAGUGCUCCUUCCUGCAAGUCUGGACCCAGGCUCCAGUUAAAGUUGAAGAAAUUAUCUUAGAUAAGUAGUCAAGGACGUGUGGCCAUUCAUAAUAGCAUUUAUAAUCAGCUGGAGCACUUUUCCGAUUUAUCAUUUGCUUAGGUCCCUUUGCUUGCUUCCUGAUUCAUCAUUUUACCUGCCUGUUAUUGCAGUCAAUCAGAUCUGUUAUUUGUUGUAAUACUGAUAACAGGAGAUACUUAUCUCUUGCUCUAUUUUAAUUUAACCCUUGUGGUAAUAGGGUUAGUACCAAAGUUUAGGGCCACCACUCUUUUCCCAUAUA
rnacentral:lncRNA from 1 species